AUGUUUUCAUUCUUAUCUGGAACUUCUACUUCCUCCGAACCUUGGAAGACAAAAGAAUUAAAAGCCGGGGUCUUUUUUCUUUUUCUUGCAAACGGCGACUCUGAAGUCACAGGGGGUGAGCGGCUGGCCAUGGUCCCACCUGCCACCCCUUCUCCUGGGAAGUCGCCGGCGCAAGGGAGGGUCGUGGGCAGAGAGUGCGGACCUGGCCUAGGGGGGCCUGGGAGGAGACGCAGGACCUCCCCGCUGGCCCCCCGAGGGGCGGGGGGACCCCAUUUUACGGGUGAGCCCGGGGAAGUGGGGUCAGACCACCACGUCCAGCCGGCGUCCCCUUCUGUCCUGCGGCCUGGGGGCGGGGUCCUGGUGAACGCGCAUAGUGGCAGGAGCCCCGCUCCUUGGCAGGACCCCUCCGGGUGCUCUCGGGGGACGUGGUGGGGAUUGGGACCCAGGGGGCAGAGACCGGGAGAGGAGGGGAGGCGGGGGGGGGGGGGGGGGAGGGGAGAGAGGAGGAGAGGAGGCGGGGGAGGGAAGAGAGGAGGAGAGGCGGGGAGAGGGUGGGGCUCGGGACAGCUCCUCCCCCCGCCCCCCUCGCUCCCUCCCACCUCCUCCUCCCCUCCCAUCCCGCGCCUCCCCCAGACCUUUACCCGCUCUCCCCUCCCCCUCCGCACAGCCAGAGCCCUGUGCUCCUCCCCUCCCCUCCCCCUCCUCCCUCCCCCUUUCCCUGCACCCCUGCCCGCGGCCGGAGGAGGAGGCGGGGCGUCCGUGGGCACCUGCGGACCGAGGACAGAGGACAAGGACGGGCCCCCACGGCCGGGCCAGGUGUGCAGGGCGAGAGGGGUGGAGGGGGCGGGGGGGCGCGGACGGAGCGUCCGAGGUGGGCGGACAGCCGGACAGUGGUCUGGGGGCUCGGAGCACGGGCGCCUCCCGCGGUGUCCGGAGCGCGGGCUCCACCGCGCAGACUCCGCUCCGCCUCGCCCCUCGCACCCGACAGGUGUCACCCUCGGGGCCUCUCCUGCUGGGGUCCCCUCGGCACCUCCCGUAGCCACACCUCAGGUUCUCCCAUGCAUCCGUGCAUCAGGUGUCCCGGGCGGGUGUCCAGGGCAGGGGUCUCGCGCAGGGCGGCCUGGUGGGGCAGCGCGGCGUGGGGUCCCCCACCUGAAUCUUCACUUCCCUGGUGGCCGGCCUGUGUCCCCUGUGGGGGUCCCCCAGCCGGGCAUGGAGAGGCCGUGGCCCACAGUCCAGCUGCUUUGCCUUUCAAAAGAGCAGUGGAAGAGAAGACGCUGCAGUUUAAAAAUAAGAACUUUGCUUUGUUCUACAACUGCGAAGGCUUUCCUACCAUGUUUUUUAAACUCACACCUUGUUGCUCUUCAUCCCUUUGGCUCCUGGCUGACUGGCUGCUGGCUCCUCUGCAGACACUUAAAUAGGAGCCAUGACGGUGGGGGAGGGGCCCCAGGAGACUUCUGGAGCAAGUGCAGACUCUUAACUUUUCAGGAAACGUCCCCAUCCUGGCACACGUGGCCCGAGGCUACCCCUAACAGACCGCCUGCUAGGCCCUGGGUGGGGAAGGGUUAA
rnacentral:lncRNA from 1 species